UCCAUUGGCCGCGCGUACCGCCAAUCACACGCAUGUAAACACCUUGGCCCUCAGCCAUUCCUAUAAAACCAAUUACGGACCUAGGGGCUCCAGCAGUUUCCAGGCUCCCCACGGCGGGGCUGAAUGAUCAAAACUGGUGGUGAGAAUUUUUCCCGGCCGUUUCUAGGCAGCCCUCCCCCUCCACCAGCUCGAACCCCCCCCUUCCUCCCUCUCCUCCCUCUUCCUACCCCCUCCCCCGGCGUCUAGGCUGAGUGAUCAAAAUAGAGGAAGAUGGUUGUCGCCGCAAUCCAGGGCUUUGCAAGGCGCGGUUUAAUGGGCCGCCUGUCAGCUUCCUGCUCGCAGGAGGAGGUGACAAGCCGAGCGAGCCGGGAAGGGUCUGGGGCCCGGCGGGCAGCACCCCGCGCCCGGGCCCCGGCCCCCUACCUCCCCUGGGGCGCGCCUUCUAGAAUGCGCGGUGGAGACGCCAAAACAGACAAGGGCUGCUUUUUUCCCUUUUUUACUCCCCCUUUUAAAACAAAGCAGCGAUUCAUUCCUUUUCCCCCAGCAGCGCGGUUGGGUGGGAUGGGCAGGCGUGAAGGCCGUUUUCCUAGCCCCGGCCUGCGGGUCCCUCCCUGAAACCCUGUGUCAGAUGGUUACUGAUUAAUAUUUUGGAGAGGCCGCGGCGGCGGGUAGCGGGUGCGUGGUCCUCUAGCAAGAUGCGCGCAAGUGACACCACGUGGCUUCCAAGCGAGGUCAGAAGAGGAGACACCAGGCUCGCGUGGAACCCUGAGCCAGCAGAGUGGGCCCUAAUCCAGCGACUGCUACUCGUAUCAGAACUGGGAGCUUUGGACACAGCUGCCCACACCGAGGAAGGAGGCUGUGUGACCACAGAGACAGACAUCAGGGUGGCAGUGCCUGCCAAGGAACGUGGAGACAAGGCACGGGAGGGGUUCUCCCCCGGGGCCUCCAGAGGGAGCAUGUCAUCGAGGACUUCUGGCUUCCGGAAUUAAGAGAAAAUAGAUUUCUGAGCCACUCACUGUGUGGUGAUGUGUAGGGCACCCCUAGGGAGCUAAUACAGCACCCCAUUCCGGCUGGACCAGCUUCUGCGACCUGUCAGUGUUCUUCCUGGCUUACACAUUCCCCCACUGUUCCUCUUCAUCCACUGGACCAUCCACCGCGAGGAGCUUGGAGCCUGGCCGGGAAGGUAAGCAGGGACCCAGCUAAUGGAAGAACGUGAGGCCAGUGCAGACGGCCAGUGGACAGUUCUUUCCGGCCACUGACAGUUCCGAAACAUGCCUGCACCUUCUCUGCACGUCCCCAUCAAGAAGGGCACUCUAGGGGCACCUGGGUGGCUCAGUCGGUGAAGCGUCCGACUUGGGCUCAGGUCAUGAUCUCAGGGUUCGUGGGUUCGAGCCCUGCGUCGGG